UACGGGGGGGGGCAAGCGUUGUUCGGAAUUACUGAGCGUAAAGGGCGCGUAGGUGGCCUUCUAAGUUGAACGUGAAAUCCCUGGGCUCAACCCAGGAACUGCGUCCAAGACUGGGAGGCUUGAAUCCGGGAGAGGGAUGCGGAAUUCCAGGUGUAGCGGUGAAAUGCGCAGAUAUCAGGAGGAACACCGGUGGCGAAGGCGGGUCUCUGGGCCGAAUACUGACGCUGAGGAGCGAAAGCGUGGGGAGCGAACAGG
rnacentral:rRNA from 1 species